AUCAAUUAGUCCAGGCACAUUGACACAAGCCCCUGGAUUUUGCAACGUGAUGGCGGUGUUUGACAACUACCAUUCUGCUUUAGCUUUCCUCCAGAAUACCUGCCUUGCAUUGGCCCUGGGUAAAUGUUUCCCUUGGCUGUGAAUAGGCAAUUAAAAUUCUGAACCUUUUAUGGCUCUGGAAGCUUAUCCGAUGAAACAAUACUCAUCCAGGCGGAUGGCCCACCAGCGCAAAGGGCUGAGGCCGCUGUAAGCCAAGGUACGCAACGCUUGCUAAACAGGAAUCCCUGGAAUGAAUCCAUGCAUGAGGCCUUUGUGCCAUGUGACAGUUGAAGGCUGUGGUGACCCCGGAACCGUCCCACUCCGAGACGCCUUAACACCGUUUUUCUGCUGUUACAAACCACAGAGCAACGCGUGUGCCUCCUCCCGCCCUGGGGACUCUUUCUGUGGGAGAGGUGCCUGGAUUUAGAGGAGCGACCACUCUUCAUUUGUAGGAUCUUGGUCACUUUCCCAGUUGUCACUCGGCCCACAAACUAGGAUGUGAGCAGCAUAUUAAGAAUCUGCAGAGAUGUUCCCGUCUGCCCGGCAUAUGGAUGUCCUUCUGGGCUGCAAAGUGGCAUCCUGUGGGCAACUCCCCCCACAACAACCAGCUGUGAGCUGUGCCCAGGCACAGAGGGACCUGGCUUUCCCUGUUUCUGCAGAUGGAGCCCAGGGUUUCAGGGAGGGAGGGGGCAGGCUGGGACCUGUUGGGGAUCUGGGCACUUUCUCAUGCUCCUUGAGCUGCAAGUCAUAGAAGGAGUGGGGUGGGAGCUGGGAAUGUACCUUCCCAAGGCCACUGGCAGAACCAGCAGGCCCUUUGCUCUGGGAUGAGCUCCCUCUGAGGGGUGGGGACAGUAAAGCGGACCGAAGUCCCUGUUCUGCGGGAUGGAAACUGGCUCCCCUCCAUUGUACAGGCCAGCUCUGGGGAUUUGGGCAGCAGAUUUGGGGUUGACAGCAGAAUGACAUGAUCACCAGUUGACCUUGGCCAGGAUGCCAGCUUACUUUCUCGCUUACUUCUGCAGGUUCUUUGUUCUGCGG
rnacentral:lncRNA from 1 species